rnacentral:rRNA from 1 species
UACGUAGGGGGGCAAGCGUUGUCCGGAAUCAUUGGGCGUAAAGAGCGUGUAGGCGGCUUGGUAAGUCCGCUGUGAAAGUCCAGGGCUCAACCCUGGAAUGCCGGUGGAAACUGUCAAGCUUGAGUCCGGAAGAGGCGAGUGGAAUUCCUGGUGUAGCGGUGAAAUGCGCAGAUAUCAGGAGGAACACCAAUGGCGAAGGCAGCUCGCUGGGACGGUACUGACGCUGAGACGCGAAAGCGUGGGGAUCAAACAGG